rnacentral:rRNA from 1 species
AGCGAACGCUGGCGGCAGGCCUAACACAUGCAAGUCGAACGAACUCCUCGGAGUUAGUGGCGGACGGGUGAGUAACACGUGGGAACGUGCCUUUUGGUUCGGAAUAACUCAGGGAAACUUGUGCUAAUACCGAAUGUGCCCUUCGGGGGAAAGAUUUAUCGCCAUUAGAGCGGCCCGCGUCUGAUUAGCUAGUUGGUGAGGUAACGGCUCACCAAGGCGACGAUCAGUAGCUGGUCUGAGAGGAUGACCAGCCACACUGGGACUGAGACACGGCCCAGACUCCUACGGGAGGCAGCAGUGGGGAAUCUUGCGCAAUGGGCGAAAGCCUGACGCAGCCAUGCCGCGUGAAUGAUGGAGGUCUUAGGAUUGUAAAAUUCUUUCACCGGGGACGAUAAUGACGGUACCCGGAGAAGAAGCCCCGGCUAACUUCGUG